UACAGAGGUGGCAAGCGUUGUUCGGAAUUACUGGGCGUAAAGGGCGCGUAGGCGGCCAUCUAAGUCAGACGUGAAAUCCCCCCGGCUUAACCUGGGAACUGCGUCUGAUACUGGACGGCUUGAGUAUGGGAGAGGGAUGUAGAAUUCCAGGUGUAGCGGUGAAAUGCGUAGAUAUCUGGAGGAAUACCGGUGGCGAAGGCGGCAUCCUGGACCAUUACUGACGCUGAGGCGCGAAAGCUAGGGGAGCAAACGGG
rnacentral:rRNA from 1 species